GACGAACGCUGGCGGCGUGCUUAACACAUGCAAGUCGAACGGUAAGGCCCUUCGGGGUACACGAGUGGCGAACGGGUGAGUAACACGUGGGUGAUCUGCCCUGCACUUCGGGAUAAGCCUGGGAAACUGGGUCUAAUACCGGAUAGGACCCUGGGAUGCAUGUCCUGGGGUGGAAAGCUUUUGCGGUGUGGGAUGGGCCCGCGGCCUAUCAGCUUGUUGGUGGGGUGAUGGGCUACCAAGGCGACGACGGGUAGCCGGCCUGAGAGGGUGACCGGCCACACUGGGACUGAGAUACGGCCCAGACUCCUACGGGAGGCAGCAGUGGGGAAUAUUGCACAACGGGCGCAAGCCUGAGGCAGCGACGCCGCGUGAGGGAUGACGGCCUUCGGGUUGUAAACCUCUUUCAGCACCGACGAAGCGCAAGUGACGGUAGGUGCAGAAGAAGGACCGGCCAACUACGUGCCAGCAGCCGCCGUAA
rnacentral:rRNA from 1 species